rnacentral:rRNA from 1 species
UACGUAGGUGGCAAGCGUUGUCCGGAAUUACUGGGCGUAAAGCGCACGUAGGCGGACAUUUAAGUUGGAGGUGAAAGCCUUGGGCUCAACCCAAGAAUUGCCUUUGAUACUGGAUGUCUCGAGACCGGGAGAGGUGAGUGGAAUUCCGAGUGUAGAGGUGAAAUUCGUAGAUAUUCGGAAGAACACCAGUGGCGAAGGCGGCUCACUGGCCCGGUUCUGACGCUGAGGUGCGAAAGCGUGGGGAGCAAACAGG